UCGAGUAGGGCCCAAGCCAGCCAGGAAGGAGGAGGCAGCCAGAGUGUUCUCUGCAGCAGAAGACCCCUUGCGGCCCUGCUUAACCCAGACCAGCAUUUGCCAGGUUCAAAGAUACCAACUGCAUCCUUGGACUAGGACUUAGAGACAAGAGUUCCUUAUUAAUCAUGCAUGAUGAGACCUUCACAGCCUGAUGCCCACAUAUCUCAGAGAUCACCUCUUCUCCCACUUCUCCCCAUACCUAUAUUGUUCAUCUGCUCAAGCCCUUCUGCAGAUUCCAUCAUUGUAGGAGAGACAGUCGGGCCAAGCUUAUGUUCCCUCUACUUCACAAGGACCCUGGUCUCCCAAGUCAUGUCCACACCCAGUUGGUGCUUUCAGAUGAAGACCCAGCCUUCACGUAUAGCACUGGCAAGUUCUGUGUGGCAAGAAAGAAGAGCAAACAAACAAACCCGUGAACAAAAAAAUAAAUGAACCAACUCUCAACACACUGAAGACAAUCAACUGAUAUGGAAUAGACUGAUGUGAAAUAUGUAACAAAGAUCGUUUUAGUGAAAUUGACAAAGCCGCCUGGCCAUAUGUAGUCACUCAAGACACAGAAAUUAAAUAACUGAAUUCAACAUAGAAAUGCAGCAUACAGAACCAAAAAAUCUACAGAACAACAAUAUGAAAAACUGAUAAAUGGUAUAUAUAGGUAUCCAGGCAGAGUCCAAGAUGUUUUCUGGAUAAGGAAAUGUGAUAAGUACACACAGUUCAGGUCACGAGUCCUUUAAUUUAAAAAAAGCAAGCAACAUGCUCUGUGAUGUAUGCAGUACGGAGCAUAAGUCCUUAAAUCAUCAUAAGUCCUUAACACAGGAAAAGGCCUUGACUGCCAGUUCAUACCCUUGUAUCAGCUCUGCAUAGCUUUAAACUACUGACUAUUUAAUCUUUUCUAGUGCCCCUAUUUAGAUGUCUUAUUUUAUAUACUCAAUUUUAGCCUUUUUGCAUUUUAUAUAUUUCACAUUUUAUAUGUUCUUUUUAAAAAAUACAGCUGUUUAAUAAUCUGACAGCUACCCUCUUUUCUAAGGGUAGCAGCUCUAUAGUAUUGUAAUACAGUUUUAUCAUAUUAGAGUAGUAACUUUAAAGUAGUAUAGUUUUAUGGUUCCAUAAUUUGCUUCUAUUAUUAUAAAUCAUGCUCUACUGUUCUGUCUUAUGCUGGUCUUUGACUAUAAUAAAGAUGAUUGAUUGAUUGAUUGAUUGAU